rnacentral:lncRNA from 1 species
UUCCAGCGCAGCUCCUGAUCCGCACAGCCAGACAAUCUGUGCAGAGGAGAAAGCCACAGCGUCAUACACACUUCAUCCUGAUGUUCCCAGCAGAGCUCAACAGCCACAGGCGCAGAUGUUGUCCACCAGUGGGCAGUUCUUCAGGGCCGCCUCCACUUUUCCCAGAGACACGUAUUCUCCUGCCUGCAGC